UACGGAGGGUGCGAGCGUUGUCCGGAAUCAUUGGGCGUAAAGGGCGCGUAGGUGGCCACUUCAAGCGUGCGGUGAAAGUCGGGGGCUCAACCCCUGAUCGGCCGUGCGAACUGGGGGGCUGGAGCACUGUAGAGGCAGGCGGAAUUCCGGGUGUAGCGGUGGAAUGCGUAGAUAUCAGGAGGAACACCGAUGGCGAAGGCAGCUCGCUGGGACGGUACUGACGCUGAGGCGCGAAAGCGUGGGGAGCAAACAGG
rnacentral:rRNA from 1 species